CAAAAUGAAAAGAGAGCCCUGAUUUCCUCCCCAAAUCAGAGAGCGCCGCCGCCGCUGCAACUAGAAGGCUGGCGAAGAUCUGGUGCAACCGCCGCCGUCCGCCGACACGCCUGGAAGCUCUAUCGCCGGACGUCGCCGCUGCUGAGGUAACGCCGCUGCCCGGAGUUGCAGCUGCCUUGCCCGGAAUCGAGGUCGCUGGUCUGAUCUCCAGCAGCCCGCCUCGCUCAGAGCCACCGCCGCCGUCGUCAACUGGAGUCUCGGCGGCCGCGGUCUCUCUUGGAUCCGCCGGCGUCGUUGUUCCAGAGUUGACGAGGGACGACAGAUAGUUUCUGCCGACAGCGGCCAGCCCGUUGGAGCUGCCCUUCCCCGGAGUCCGACUCGUUCUCCUCCCUCUCGUUUUAUCACUCCAUAGGAGUGGGGAUUUGCUUAAGUUUAAGCAGAAGCUUGAAUGAUCUCUCUCUUGUUGUUGGCGUGUGAAGAAGUGAAUGGAAUUGCUUGGCUGAUGAUUUUAAAAGAUGGGAGUUGUUGGCUUAUACUACAAGGAAGUCAAAAUGUGUCUGCCUCUUUUAGAGAAGGUGUAGUCAUCGGUUGCGGAUGAGGUGGUUGGAGGACUUGGGCGGCUGGAGCAUGCUAAGGAAUAGGGUAGGGAGAAGGGGAUUGGUGGAGUUGGGGGGGCUGUGGCAGAGCUAUUGCUGCUUCACACACGCACGCCUCCUCUCUCUUUUCUUUCUUCUCUUAUUUCCUCCCUAUUUCCUUUCUUUGUAGUCAACAUUCUCAUGCUUAGGUAGAUAUUAGUAUUGUAAUAGCUAGGUUGGUUGUGGUGCAAAUAAAUAAAAUCCCUUUGGCUUCAAAAUUCUAAAUCUGUAAUAUGAAAUGCGUAUCUGUGUAUUUGCUUGA